rnacentral:sRNA from 1 species
ACACACACACAAAACAAAAAAAAAACACGAUAAUCUAAAGUAGUCGAGUUAUGAAACUUCGUCUUCCUUAUCUUAUAUAUUACAGAAAUCUAACCUCUGAUGUUGUGAACAACAUGGAUGUUAUUUUUAUGCAUUUUUAUCGCUCCAAUAAUAUACGUACUCAAAUAGUACGAUGUAGUAGAGCUUUAUUGGUUAAUCGCGUUUCUCUUAGAUUGCAAAAACAGAAUGUGAACACAACAGCACAGCAGUAUGAUAAAGAUCAAUCUAAGCCAUACAAAUUUACAACAAGUCCUGCCAACACUCCAGUUAUGAUGCGUAGAGAUAGAAACGAAUAUGAGCCUAUCAUUGUUGCAAGCAGCCUAGCAGUUUUUUUGAUAUAUUUUUUGUAUUGGAGAGAAGAAAAUGAUUUAGAUGAAUUGAUGUUUAAGUCAGUACCACAAUUAGACAUAGCUGGAAAAAAAAAUUGAGAAACUUUAUCGCUACUAGUGAUCUCUCAGUCAAGCAAAAAAUGAUAAAAAUGCUAAUACUAUAAAAAAAAAGUUGUAAUUUGUGUACUAAUGUGUAUCGGUACCCUUACCAUACGAGAUACUGUUACCAUUGUUUAAAUCAUCCACAAUAAAAUAAUUGAUGAAAAGAAGCAUGUAGUCUACGAUUUUAAAAAUAUUUACCUGUGCCUAUUAGUUUAUUGAGGAAAAUUUUGCUAAGUGACAGUAUGACACAUUUCUCAAAUACUCUACCUGCAGUUCAGUCAAGUACAUGCCGGUAACUGGUUUGAAAAUAUUGUUAGACCAAUGAAGUAAUGUUUUUAACUACCUGGAACUGUUUUAUGCAAGGCCACCACAUCUAUCAAACACUUGUUCAAACAGAAAUCACAUUUUUACAAUUUUCAAUGCAUCUUUUUUUGUGUUAUACUGUUCUCUUAGUGUUUAUUUUGUUAUAUACAGUACCUGGUAUCCAUAAUUUAAAUUUAUAAUAUAGAACUUAAAAUGUCUUAACUAUCAGGAUAGUCAUGAAUUUAUAAAUAAAUCCAUGUAAAAACAAAAGGUAUUACUGGUAUCAAGGUCUUUGCAGACUACUAAAAAUGUCAGAACUUAAAAAUACACCUUUUGUUAGUCAAUUUGUUUGUAAUUUACAUUCAUGCAAAACUAUUAAAAAUUCUUCACACCAAU